AGACGGGCGGGACGGCCACUAAAGGGUCCCUGAGGGGAGGGCCCUGAGCCAGACCAGCGGACCACAACAGCCCUUGAGGCCACUGUCUCCACCCCUCACCUCCCCACCCCGCUCCCGUAGCCUGCUUUUAGGAAGCCUCGCUCUGGGCCCCAGCAAUCCCAGCCCUCCCCAGGGCUGUCCCAGCUCUUGGCUCCAUCAGGCCUGCCCCUCCACCUCACCCCCACCCCACCCCGGGCCUCUCCUGGGCAUCAGGAGAGCAGGCAAGGGUCCAGCUGGAGCAAAGCUGGAGGGCCAGGGAGCCUCUCACUCCCUGCUGGCUGCAGCACCAGAAAACCAUCUGGACUGAGAACCACCACGUUUAUUAGAUUCAUUCUCUCCACGCCCCCCCCCCCCCUCCAUCUCCCAUCUGACCCUCCCCUCAUCCCUCAGCCACCUAACACUACACCAGCUCCAGCUGGCAGCUUUUGA